rnacentral:rRNA from 1 species
AUACGGGGGGUGCAAGCGUUAAUCGGAAUUACUGGGCGUAAAGCGCGCGUAGGCGGUUUACUCAGUCGGAUGUGAAAGCCCAGGGCUCAACCUUGGAACUGCAUACGAUACUGGCAAACUAGAGUGUGAGAGAGGAUAGUGGAAUUUCCGGUGUAGCGGUGAAAUGCGUAGAUAUCGGAAGGAACAUCAGUGGCGAAGGCGACUGUCUGGCUCAACACUGACGCUGAGGUGCGAAAGCGUGGGUAGCAAACAGGAUUAGAUACCCUAGUAGUCC